rnacentral:rRNA from 1 species
CCUACGGGAGGCAGCAGUGGGGAAUAUUGCACAAUGGGGGAAACCCUGAUGCAGCGACGCCGCGUGAGUGAAGAAGUAUUUCGGUACGUAAAGCUCUAUCAGCAGGGAAGAAAAUGACGGUACCUGACUAAGAAGCCCCGGCUAACUACGUGCCAGCAGCCGCGGUAAUACGUAGGGGGCAAGCGUUAUCCGGAUUUACUGGGUGUAAAGGGAGCGUAGACGGCCGCGCAAGUCUGGAGUGAAAUCCCAUGGCUUAACCAUGGAACUGCUUUGGAAACUGCGCAGCUAGAGUGCAGGAGAGGUAAGCGGAAUUCCUAGUGUAGCGGUGAAAUGCGUAGAUAUUAGGAGGAACACCAGUGGCGAAGGCGGCUUACUGGACUGUAACUGACGUUGAGGCUCGAACGCGUGGGGAGCAAACAGGAUUAGAUACCCCAGUAGUC